rnacentral:lncRNA from 1 species
UAAAUGGUCAUAUACUAUUACUCAGCAUGCAGGAACAGGGGUUCAUCGGCUUUGCAGACAACUGGCCAUUAAAUGGUGGUCCAAAUUUGAUGAGGACAAAAUUGAAAAUAUUCCUCCUCAUGUUGUCGAUGGUGAUAUGGGCAAAUAUGAUGCCUCUCAGCAGAAGUUAAAAUCCAUCCUCAAAGGAAUUCCAAAAAAUGAAAUCCUUGAUUUUCUCAGGAAUCAUGAUGACACGGUCACUAUGCUAGACAGUGAUGAUGAGAAAUAUGACCCAUUUGGUGGCCCG